GGGGAUUUAGCUCAGUUGGUAGAGUAUUUGUUUUGCAAACAAAAGGUCAUGAGUUCGAAACUCAUAAUCUCCA
rnacentral:tRNA from 1 species